rnacentral:rRNA from 2 species
ACAGGGAUUGCCCUAGUAACGGCGAGUGAAGCGGCAACAGCUCGAAUUUGAAAUCUGGCCUCGGCCCGAGUUGUAAUUUGCAGAGGAUGCUUCUGGCGCGGUGCCUUCCGAGUUCCCUGGAACGGGACGCCACAGAGGGUGAGAGCCCCGUAUGGUCGGACACCAAGCCUGUGUGAAGCUCCUUCGACGAGUCGAGUAGUUUGGGAAUGCUGCUCUAAAUGGGAGGUAAAUCUCUUCUAAAGCUAAAUACCGGCCAGAGACCGAUAGCGCACAAGUAGAGUGAUCGAAAGAUGAAAAGCACCUUGAAAAGGGGGUUAAAUAGUACGUGAAAUUGUUGAAAGGGAAGCACUUAUGACCAGACUUGGGCCGGGCGGCUCAUCAGGGGUUCUCCCCUGUGCACUCCGCCCGGCACAGGCCAGCAUCGGUUCUCGUGGGGGGAUAAGACCGUCAGGAACGUAGCACCCUCCGGGGUGUGUUAUAGCCUGGCGGACGAUACCCCCGUGGGGACCGAGGUCCGCGCUCCGCAAGGAUGCUGGCGUAAUGGUCAUCAGUGACCCGUCUUGAAACACGGACCAAGGAGUCGUCCAUUAGAGCGAGCGUUUGGGUGUAAAACCCGCACGCGUAAUGAAAGUGAACGCAGGUGAGAGCUUCGGCGCAUCAUCGACCGAUCCUGAUGUUCUCGGAAGGAUUUGAGUAAGAGUUUUAACGGACGGACCCGAAAGACAGUGAACUAUGCUUGUAUAGGGUGAAGCCAGAGGAAACUCUGGUGGAGGCUCGCAGCGGUUCUGACGUGCAAAUCGAUCGUCAAAUAUGAGCAUGGGGGCGAAAGACUAAUCGAAC